UGGAGCAGUCUGGUAGCUCGUCGGGCUCAUAACCCGAAGGUCGUCGGUUCAAAUCCGGCUCCCGCAACCA
rnacentral:tRNA from 3 species